GCUCUUAUCGUCUAACGGUCAGGACAGUGCUUUUUCAGAGUAUUUAUGUGAGUUCAAAUCUCACUAAGAGUA
rnacentral:tRNA from 1 species